rnacentral:rRNA from 1 species
GGAGGAUCCGAGCGUUAUCCGGAUUUAUUGGGUUUAAAGGGAGCGUAGGCGGGUGUUUAAGUCAGUNGUGAAAGUNUGCGGCUCAACCGUAAAAUNGCAGUUGAUACUGGAUAUCUUGAGUGCAGUUGAGGCAGGCGGAAUUCGUGGUGUAGCGGUGAAAUGCUUAGAUAUCACGAAGAACUCCGAUUGCGAAGGCAGCCUGCUAAGCUGCAACUGACAUUGAGGCUCGAAAGUGUGGGUAUCAAACAGGAUUAGAUACCCUGGUAGUCCACACGGUAAACGAUGAAUGCCCGCUGUUGGUCUGAACAGGUCAGCGGCCAAGCGAAAGCAUUAAGCAUCCCACCUGGGGAGU